UGGAAGAUAGCGGCGGAAAAUUAGUGGCUAUUUUGACAAUAGCCACUACUUGUUGGUUUUCUGGCAGUUUUGGUGGUGAACACUGGAAGAGGAGCUAUUUCCUUUGGCGAUGCUUCAACCUCAUUUUCUCUUGAUUUCAUUUUUCUUUCGUUAUCGCUUACAAGAGCCAGAGCCCAAUGUCUCUCCUCCUCCCUCGGGUUCUCUUGCCACAGCAUCUUGCCACCAUCAAAUUUGACCUUUGAUGCCACCAACCCUAUUAGACGCACCCUUUCCCUCUUUUCUCUCUUUGAAUAAACUUCCCCAAACCUUGCUAACCCUAAAUCUUCUUCCCCGAGGUACCAUUGGUGCUAUUUCUGCUCGUUCAGAUGAAGACGACGACACUGGGCUCUCUGUUUCAUCUCGUCUGUCAGAUUUGCUCGCCAUCUCCUCCUACUCCUGCGUGGUUCAAAUCUGCUGCAGUUAUAUAAAUUCCUGAUAAGAUAUUGGACUUUAUGAGGUUGCCAAGAAAAUUGACGACAUAGUAUGGCUUCGGAACCUCAAGGAUCCUCUUGGUCCUCCUUACUCUUCUCCUCCUUGGCCUCAACCUUGGUACCCAGAUUUUAGGCUGAAAUGGUUAUCCUCUUUGGUCUAUAUUCUUAGCAAAGCUAUUUGAGUCGUGUUGAAGCUAGCGAUUGGUGUUAGUUGUUUGGAUUCUGAGCCCUUCACUGCUGCUGAUGGCUUGCCGAAACAGGUCCAACAUCAUUUGCGCCGGUAAUUGAUGCAGCAAUUGAUGUUGUGGAGAAAAGCAAUGGUCAAUAUCAUGUUCUUGUUAUUAUUGUUGAUGGACAGGUUUCCAGAAAUUCAGAUACAGGAGGACGCAAAAGGCUUGGUCUACAAGAAUAAGCAACUAUUAAUUCUAUGGUUGCUGCAAGUCACUAUCCUCUCUGAAUAAUUUUGGUUGGUGUUGGAGAUGGACCGUGGGAUGAGAUGCAGCAGUUUGACAAUAACAUCACGGAACCCUUAUUUGACAAUGUUCAGGUACUUGAUGGUACUUAAAAUAUUCAAGUACUAUGUAUGCUUCUAUAGUAAUGAGUUUCAAGAACCUCGAAGUUUAGCAUAUUAAUUAGCUAAGGGGAUAAUGUAAUACAUCAACCAAUUCCAAAAUUAAGCACAGUUUAUAAUUAGUUGGACAUAGUGUUUUAUGAUGCUCUUCUCUUUGUAGAGAGAGAUAUAAUAUGGAAUUCUACUAUCUCAACAUUAGUAAGUGUAAGAUGACUCUUAAGUAGGUUUACCCAACUCCUAACAUGGAUUAGGGUGGUUCUUAUUGUUUUUGUUCCUUGCAUAGUUAGCUUAUUAGCUGCGAUGUUUAAUAGAAUAGAUCUUAAAUUCUGAUCACUUUUCAAAUAAAAUUUUUGACUCAGCUGUUUGGGGAGGUGCCAAGUUGUCUAAUGUUCUUGAACUAGUUGGAAUACCAAAGUUGACCAAUAGUACUCAAUUUGGUGAAAAACAUGUUGAGUUUGUUAGUAUUGAUAAGUGUAAGAUAACCACCAUGACGUGUAUUUAAAUUACACAUCAUGGAUUACUUCUUGUUUUUAGUUUUAUUCAUGGAUACAAUUCUGUUGAUUUCUUUUAAUCUCCAAAAAACUAUAGGAGAAGAAAGGAGGUCCUUACAAGGCUUCAAUUUCUCUCAGUCAGGCAACAAAUCCUGAAGCAGAAAAAGUUUAUUGAUAUUUUCAAAUUCAAGCCCUACUCUAUCAGACAGAAUAAAUUUAUUAAUAAUGAUUUUAUUUUGGCAGUGUGCUAUAUGUUCUCUAGGAGAUGUGAGCACACUAAAGCUUGGGAAGGAUCAAGUGGUGGCAGAGACAUUGAGAGAGUCGAUAUUUCUGUUGAUGAAGGAAAAAGCUGGAUUGAAGCCUUAAGAUGUCAGAAAAGUGGUGUCCAAUACAUAAUCGAUGUUUCUUUAGAUAGACUUGGAGGGAAAUAAAAAUUAGAAUAUAUGUGAUAUUUUAUUUUUCAGAAUAUGUUUUGUUUAAGUUGAUUAUGUAGCAUCUUUUAUUAGCUA